UGGGGACGACGUCAAGUCAUCAUCGGCCCUUACGUCCAGGGCUACACACGUGCUACAAUGGGUCGGUACAACGGGAAGCAAUACCGCGAGGUGGAGCAAAUCCCUGAAAACCGGCCUCAGUUCAGAUUGUAGGCUGCAACCCGCCUGCAUGAAGAUGGAGUUGCUAGUAACCGCAGGUCAGCUAUACUGCGGUGAAUACGUUCCCGGGGCUU
rnacentral:rRNA from 1 species